rnacentral:rRNA from 1 species
UAGGGAAUAUUAGAAAUGGACGCAAGUCUGAUCUAGCAACACCGCGUGUGCGAUGAAGGCCUUCGGGUUGUAAAGCACUUUUUGGAAGGAUUAGGAAGGAAUGUACUUCCAGAAUAAGUCUCGGCUAACUACGUGCCGGCAGCCGCGGUAACACGUAGGAGGCGAACGUUAUCCGGAUUUACUGGGCGUAAAGCGCGUGUAGGUGGUUCUGUAAGUAGGGCGUGAAAGCUCCUGGCUCAACUGGGAGAGGCCGUUCUAAACUGCAGAGCUAGAGGAUGGUAGAGGGAGGUGGAAUUCCGGGUGUAGCGGUGGAAUGCGCAGAUAUCCGGAGGAACACCAGUGGCGAAGGCGGCCUCCUGGACCAUUCCUGACACUCAGACACGGAAGCUAGGGUAGCAAACGG